AAAUAGUUGGCAAGCAGCAGCACUGGAUUCAAACGCAGGCCAUCUGGUUCCCAAGACCACAUUUUAAUCCCUUGCCCUGGUGCCCUUAUUGAUGCUGUGCUUUUCUUCAAAGUGCCCAGCCUCCCAAGACUCUCCAAAAAGAUUGCAAUGAAUUCUCCCCAACCCAGAGAAGUCAAAGACGUCGUAUUCCAGCGUACAGUUUCAGAGCCUUCGAAUGUCCCAGACAACGUGUGGGACCAAGGAGAGCCUUAUGUUUGUCACAUUGAAUGCCACACUCCCCAGGAUCCCCGAAAUCUUAGGCUAGUGAAGUGUGAAGAGGAGUUUAAGUCUUUCCCAACUUGUCGUACUCAAAGGGACUAAGCCAGGAACUUAAGUAGUGGAAGUGAAUUAUGUGUUUCAAUUAUACUUUUCAGUUAAAUGACUAUUGGAAGCUGGCCUCUGCCUGCUCCAGCCCCACUGAACUGCAGAAACCAAAGAACUUUCACCAGAUGUUCACCUUACCUGCUUGGUCCUGAGCGAUCUGAACCAGACGGGGGCAGAAAAUUAAAUGUCCAA